AUCUUCAGGAGCCAAAGCCAAGAGGAACCCAGAGGGACAAAUCCCCUGGACCAAGUUCUGCAAGAGUGCGAACGAGAAAGCGUAUUCCUUCUGGUUGUGGAUCGAAGGAAUCCUGGAUGUGAU